AUGUGCCGCGCCUAGACUGCGGUUCCGAGCGCGCCUUGCACACCCACCUGACGAUUGCCCGCUACGUGUUGGUAGCC
rnacentral:sRNA from 2 species